rnacentral:misc_RNA from 1 species
UAAUCAAGUGUUUUUAUGGCACUUUUUUAAAUCCAUAUCCACCUUGUGUGCAAUGUCAGUCGAUCUUCUUCAUGGAGAUCGACCAAACAUCAACCUUUAUCUUUUAACUCUUUGUCUGAAAAAAUAUUAUGAAUAAACAAUUCAAAAUA